rnacentral:lncRNA from 1 species
AUGCUGCUAAGGACAUUGGUUAUAUAAAUGUUUGUUUGCAUCUGUCAUUUUAGGUGAAUUUAGAAGUACAACCGCUAUAGUAUAUGAAAUUAUGUGUUUAGUUUAGAAAACCUCUUGUUCUUCAUUGAAGCUACACUAUUAAAUGUCCCCCUAAGUAAUUCACAAGUGUCCUAAUUUCCCCGUAUGCUUGCCAACAUCUGUUAUUUUCUGUGCUGAUAUAAGAUGAUCGGUCCUUAAUGUGGUUUGAAUUUGUAUUUCCCUAAUAUUUAGUGAUGCUGAGUAACUUUUCCUGUAAUUGUUAGUCAUUUUCUUUGGGAAAAUGCACAAGUACUUUAUAUCCUUUUUACAAUGAAAAUUUUACUGAAAACUUCUCAUUCUAUAUCCUAAAUGUUAUUAGUCACUUACCAUUUUUAUGAUUUUUAAUUUUUUCCUAUUUGAUGAGCUGCUUCUCUUUUGUGGCAGUGUAUUUGGAGAUACCAAAGUUUGGAUGCAGUUGAACUUGUAUUUUUCAUAGUUUUUCUAUAUUUUGGUAUCAGCUUCCAAGGAAGCACUCCCAUUACUGCUGGCUACCUUUGCUCUGUGUUUUCAUUUAUCAGAUUUUAGUUCUUAUGUGUUUGAUUUAUUUGUGUUCAUUUUGGCAUAAGGUUGAAAUUUCUCCAAUUGUCUUAGUUAGGGUUUUACUGCUGUGAACAGACACCAUGAUCAAGGCAACUCUUACAAGGACGACAUUUAAUUGGAGCUGGCUUGCAGGUUCAGAGGUUCAGUCCAUUAUCAUCAAGACAGGAGGAGCAUGACAACAUGCAGGCAGACAUGGCUCUUGCCCUUCAGUUAACUGUCUCUGAAAUGUCUCAUAGAGCCAUGCAGACUUAUCCUUCACCUAUUUGCUUGUAAUUCUAAAUGUAUUCAAGAUGAAGAUGAAGAUUAGCAAUCACAAUAUCUUUGUCAAACAUUUGAGCAUGUAUUUAGGGCUUUAUUUUGGACUCUCCAGUGUAUAUCAUUGGUUGAUACUUCUCUUUCUCUUCAUGUUAUUUCAUAUUGUUUCUCUUACUAUAGUUAGAAAGUUAGCUUUGAAAUUAGAAAAUGCUAAUCUUCCUUUUGUUCUUUCCCAAGAUUGCUUUGUCUGUUUGAGGGUCGCUUGAAAUUAAUAUAUGAAUUUUGGGAUAAGAUUUUUUUCUAUAUAAAUCAUUAGAUUCAAAUAAACUGAUUUUGUGCAUUGUUUUGCAUAUAUUUUAAU